rnacentral:rRNA from 1 species
UACGAAGGGGGCGAGCGUUGUUCGGAAUUACUGGGCGUAAAGGGCGCGCAGGCGGCUCUGAAAGUCAGAUGUGAAAGCCCCGGGCUUAACCUGGGAAUUGCAUUUGAUACUCUGGAGCUUGAGUACGGGAGAGGAGAGUGGAAUUCCUAGUGUAGAGGUGGAAUUCGUAGAUAUUAGGAAGAACACCAGUGGCGAAGGCGGCUCACUGGUCCGGUACUGACGCUGAGGUGCGAAAGCGUGGGGAGCAAACAGGGAUUAGAUAACCUUG